ensembl:lincRNA
UUGCUUUUAAUGGUCAUGUUCAUUUAUAGUUCUUACUAAUUUAUUAUCAGAUUAAAAGGAAAGGAGGAACAGGUGAAUACCAUGAAGGUUCUUAUAGAAGAGAAGGAGAAAGAUCUAGCCAAUAGAGAGAAAUGGUUACAGGUGAGACUUUACAAACAAAAGUUAAAAAAUACCUUUUUUUUUAUAUUUGAAUAUCAGUUCACAUCUAUUCUUUUUAAGGAUCUGCAAGAAGAAAACGAAUCUUUGAAGACUUAUAUGCAGGAAGCAGCACAACAUAACUUGCAGAAGGCGUAUUCUACAUCACAAUUUGAAGAGCUUGAAAUUGUGUUGAAAGAGAAGGAAAAUGAAAUGAAGAGAAUAGAAACUGUGCUAAAAGAGAGGGAGAGCGAUCUUUCUAGCAAAACAAAGCUGUUACAGGAGGUACAAGAUGAAAACAAAUUGUUUCAAUCCCAGAUUGAGCAACUUAAGCAACAAAAUUACCAACAGGUAUCUUCUUUCCCCCCUCAUGAGGAAUUAUUGAAAGUAAUUUCAGACAGAGAGAAGGAAAUAACUGGUCUCCAGAAUGAGUUAGAUUCUUUGAAAGAUGCUGUUGAACACCAAAGGAAGAAAAAUAAUGACCUUCGGGAGAAAAACUGGGAAGCAAUGGAAGCAUUGGCAUCAACUGAAAAAAUGCUGCAGGACAAAGUGAACAAGACUUCCAAGGUUGUAAUGCUAACUCUUAGAAACAAUCCACUGAACAGAGAAAAUCUGCAGCUUAUCUUAAAAUCAGACUAAAGCAUUUAAUUUUACUGCAAUUUAAAUAUAAAAUCUUACCAUCCACAUUUAUCAUUUCUUGUCAUUUCUGCUUUUUUCGUAUACUCCUUGAGGCUUUAGUUUUGGGCAUGCUUAUUUGUUGGGAUGAUCUCUGUUGGAGCUUUUGCUGAAGAGUCUCAGAAGGCCUGUGCUAGGCACAUAGGUUUUUUUCAGAGAGUGUGCCUAUUGGGGGUAGUUAAGAGAACUUCAGUGAAAACCUCAAACCAAAGAAAUCUAACUGUUUUAGCAGACACAUACCUAACAUGUAUCUGUGAUAAAUAGCAAACAAGAUUUUGGGGGAAGGGAGCUACACCAGGAAGACUCUAAGUAAUGAUAAGUCUUAAGGAAUAUAGGAAAGAUAUCAGUUCUGAGUAUGUUAUUAAAGAUGAUUCUUUAGGAGAAGGGGACUUAAACUUUGAGGCAGGUGGAUAGUAAUGACACAUGAGUCAUGUUUAAAAUGGAAUGUUA